AAUGGUUGACGCUCUUUCACCUGCACCCAUCAGGAAACGGGAGAAAGCUUUGAAGUGGGACAUAUCAAGUUACGUACACAACUAUGAGGUUGAGGCUGAAGGGCUCGACCAAUGCUGCAUCAUAGCAGCACAGUGUCUUAUCACCAUCCCAUGAAAGCUAGAAGUCACCCUGCUGCUCCAGAUCUACCUACUGUAUGACUGGCUACAGACUACAACCAUCUGCAACAUCAUCUGCUCUUAAAGUCUCUUG